rnacentral:rRNA from 1 species
CCUACGGGAGGCAGCAGUGAGGAAUAUUGGUCAAUGGACGCGAGCCUGAACCAGCCAAGUAGCGUGAGGGAAGACGGUCCUAUGGAUUGUAAACCUCUUUUAUCAGGGAACAAAACGCGCCACGCGUGGCUUUCCGCGAGUACCCGAAGAAAAAGCAUCGGCUAACUCCGUGCCAGCAGCCGCGGUAAUACGGAGGAUGCGAGCGUUAUCCGGAUUUAUUGGGUUUAAAGGGUGCGUAGGCGGAAUAUCAAGUCAGCGGUAAAAGUUCGGGGCUCAACCGAGUCGUGCCGUUGAAACUGAUGGUCUUGAGUGGGCGAGAAGUAGGCGGAAUGCGUGGUGUAGCGGUGAAAUGCAUAGAUAUCACGCAGAACUCCGAUUGCGAAGGCAGCAUAC